rnacentral:rRNA from 1 species
CCCUUAGAUGGUCUGGACGGCACGCGCGCUACAAUGAUGCAUUCAAAAAGUCUUCUGACCUUAGAAGGUUGGGUAUUCUCCAAAGUGCAUCGUGAUGGGAAUAGUUUAUUGCAAUUUUUAAUCUUGAACGAGGAAUUCCUAGUAAGUACAGGUCAUCAACUUGUGUUGAUUACGUCCCUGCCCUUUGUACACACCGCCCGUCGCUCCUACUGAUUGAGUGUCUCGGUGAAUUCUUUGAUCUUCUGUCGAUUCAGUUCACUGAUCCGACGGUGGAAAGUUGAAUGAACUUCGUCACUUAGAGGAAGGAGAAGUCGUAACA